GUAAACCAUUUCUCACCGAAAUCUCCAAGGUAACUGCCUGUUAUAUGUGAAUUGACAACAAUGUCCGACGCUUCCGAUUCCACCUCCUCCGGCGACGCUUCAGAACCUAACAGUAAGCUCCUUGAUAACAAAUUCGAAUCACUUACUAUUCAAGAAUCCAAUAGCAUCGUCCAAAACGAUGAAGCACCGGCGGAGCAUCAACUAGGGUCACCGUUUAAUGGAUCGAUGGACAAUAACGGUAAUCACGAAGGAUUCAACGCUCUAGAAGAGAUAAUUGAGGUCGGAAGCGACACAAGGGGCAUUGGCGACAGUGUUAGUGGUGGUGGUGGUGGUGGUGAUGGUGUU
rnacentral:misc_RNA from 1 species